AUUGAACGCUGGCGGCAGGCCUAACACAUGCAAGUCGAACGGUAACAGGAAGCAGCUUGCUGCUUUGCUGACGAGUGGCGGACGGUUGAGUAAUGUCUUGGAAACUGCCUGAUGGAGGGGGAUAACUACUGGAAACGGUAGCUAAUACCGCAUAACGUCGCAGGACCAAAGAGGGGGACCUUCGGGCCUCUUGCCAUCGGAUGUGCCCAGAUGGGAUUAGAUAGUAGGUGGGGUAAAGGCUCACCUAGGCGACGAUCCCUAGCUGGUCUGAGAGGAUGACCAGCCACACUGGAACUGAGACACGGUCCAGACUACUACGGGAGGCAGCAGUGGGGAAUAUUGCACAAUGGGCGCAAGCAUGAUGCAGCCAUGCCGCGUGUAUGAAGAAGGACUUCGGGUUGUAAAGUACUUUCCGCGGGGAGGAAGGGAGUAAAGUUAAUACCUUUGCUCAUUGACGUUAACCGCAGAAGAAGCACCGGCUAACUCCGUG
rnacentral:rRNA from 1 species